rnacentral:rRNA from 1 species
CAGCAGCCACGGGAAUACGGAGGAUCCAAGCGUUAUCCGGAAUCAUUGGGUUUAAAGGGUCCGUAGGCGGUCUUGUAAGUCAGUGGUGAAAGCCCAUCGCUCAACGGUGGAACGGCCAUUGAUACUGCAGGACUUGAAUUAUUUGGAAGUAACUAGAAUAUGUAGUGUAGCGGUGAAAUGCUUAGAGAUUACAUGGAAUACCAAUUGCGAAGGCAGGUUACUACCAAUUGAUUGACGCUGAUGGACGAAAGCGUGGGUAGCGAACAGGAUUAGAUACCCCCGUAGUCCCUGUCUCUUAUAC